rnacentral:lncRNA from 1 species
CAUGCACCACAAUGCAUGUCUCACCUGUAGUAUCCACUCUUCAUGGCCUAAUCACCCUAGCACUUCCAUUUUCUCAAAAUUUUAUAGAAAAUUCCAGUACAAUAAUUUAUUCUUAUGGUGAUCAUAAAUUGCAACCAAAAUUUUUGUUUAAUAUUUAAUAACUUAUUUGCUAAAUUUUCUAUCCAUUUGCGUGAUUUAAAUAGAAAAUACAAUAUUGUAUAAGAUAGUUAUUUUAUGAUAAAAUAACAUACGAUUAUUAAGAAACACAUAUAAAUAUAAAUAAACCAAAUGAUUACAAUUUUUAAUCAUUCUUAUAUUUGUUUCCGCGCAUAAAUUUAUGAAAUGAUUACUAUCUGAACAUAUGGUACUAACAAAAUACUACUCCCUCCGUUUCAUAUUAAGU